rnacentral:rRNA from 1 species
AACGAACGCUGGCGGCAUGCCUAACACAUGCAAGUCGAACGAGACCUUCGGGUCUAGUGGCGCACGGGUGCGUAACGCGUGGGAACCUGCCCUUAGGUUCGGAAUAACUCCCCGAAAGGGGUGCUAAUACCGGAUAAUGUCUUCGGACCAAAGAUUUAUCGCCUUUGGAUGGGCCCGCGUUGGAUUAGCUAGUUGGUAGGGUAAAAGCCUACCAAGGCGACGAUCCAUAGCUGGUCUGAGAGGAUGAUCAGCCACACUGGGACUGAGACACGGCCCAGACUCCUACGGGAGGCAGCAGUGGGGAAUAUUGGACAAUGGGCGAAAGCCUGAUCCAGCAAUGCCGCGUGAGGGAUGAAGGCCUUAGGGGUGUAAAGCUCUUUUACCCGGGAUGAUAAUGACAGUACCGGGAGAAUAAGCUCCGGCUAACUCCGUGC